CCUUACCUGGCCUUGACAUGCUGAGAACUUUCUAGAGAUAGAUUGGUGCCUUCGGAACUCAGACACAGGUGCUGCAUUGGCUGUCGUCAGCUCGUGUCGUGUAGAUGUUGGGUUAAGUCCCGUAACGAGCGCAACCCUUGUCCUUAGUUACCAGCACGUAAUGGUGGGCACUCUAAGGAGACUGCCGGUGACAAAACCGGAGGAAGGUGGGGAUGACGUCAAGUCAUCAUGGCCCUUACGGCCAGGGCUACACACGUGCUACAAUGGUCGGUACAAAGGGUUGCCAAGCCGCGAGGUGGAGCUAAUCCCAUAAACCGAUCGUAGUCCGGAUCGCAGUCUGCAACUCGACUGCGUGAAGUCGGAAUCGCUAGUAAUCGUGAAUCAGAAUGUCACGGUGAAUACGUUCCCGGGCCUU
rnacentral:rRNA from 1 species